UAUAUAUUGUGUUAAUUCAUACAUGUUUUUCCAAAAGGCAACAUGAAGCUGCUAAUUGGGUUCAAACAACACCACCUCCUCAGUUUUUUGGUCUUUGGUACCCUUCUUCUUCCUUGGAGCAUGUCUACAGUGGGCGAGAAGGUGGUGACGGUCAACGCACAACCAUGGAAAGCCCCGCCUCCACCAAUACCAACACCAUUUCGUCCGCCUCCACCUCAAUUCAAAAUACCAAUGUCUCCGCCUCCACCCCCCAAUGGUCCCGGGGGUCCGAAUCAGUAGCAGUCAUUUCCUGUAUUUAGACGCAGUACCAACUAUUCCCCAGUAUAUGGUACUGCGAUCCAUGAAUAUUCUACAUCUCAAUAUAGGAAAAAUGUGAUUUACAAUAUGAUUUGAUCAAUGUACUGCUACCUACUUACUAUAUGAAUAAAUUAUUUGGAA